rfam:Triticum aestivum genome assembly, contig: Triticum_aestivum_CS42_TGACv1_scaffold_193655_3AL
AUACUACUCCCUCCGUUCCAAAUUACUCGUCGCAGAAAUGGAUGUAUCUAGAACUAAAAUACAUCUAGAUACAUCCAUACUUGCAACAAGUAAUUCGGAACGGAGGGAGUAUUUA